rnacentral:rRNA from 1 species
GACGAACGCUGGCGGCGUGCUUAACACAUGCAAGUCGAACGGAAAGGCCCUGCUUUUGUGGGGUUCUCGAGUGGCGAACGGGUGAGUAACACGUGUGUAACCUGCCCUUGACUUUGGUAUAACUUCAGGAAACUGGGGCUAAUCCCGGAUAGGAGCUCCUGCUGCAUGGUGGGGGUUGGAAAGUUUCGGCGGUUGGGGAUGGACUCGCGGCUUAUCAGCUUGUUGGUGGGGUAGUGGCUUACCAAGGCUUUGACGGGUAGCCGGCCUGAGAGGGUGACCGGGGACAUUGGGACUGAGAGACGGCCCAGACUCCUACGGGAGGCAGCAGGGGGGAAUAUUGCACAAUGGGCGCAAGCCUGAUGCAGCAACGCCGCGGGCGGGAUGACGGCUUUUGGGGUGUAAACAGCUUUCGCCUGUGACGAAGCGUUAGUGACGGUAAUGGGUAAAGAAGCACCGGCUAACUACGUG